GACCUCGGUAGCUUAGCGGUCAAAAGCAGUGGGGCGUAAAUCAAGAAAGAACUCUCCCUGGGUUCGAAUCCCAGUCGAGUUCA